GGGUGAGGAGCAGAGGCCAGCAUGGAUGGAGGCUGUCACCCAAGGCCUUGGCUAUUUGAAUAAUGUCCAGAUCCUGGAAGGUUCAGUCUGUCAAUUAUUCCUGGCUGAGCUGAGGAUCACAGGAUGGGACUUGCUUCAUCAGUUAGACUUCUCUGGAAACAUCCUCACAGACAAGGUCCUGCACUUUGUCUUGAAGGAUGAAGAAAGCUCUAGAUUACCGCCCUGAGGAAUGCUGAUGUUGUCACGUGAGGUGUGUGAAAUCUAUCAUACACAGUAGAUAGAGAAGCAAAUGGAUUGUGGAUUCACAGAGCCUAUUCUGAUGAAUUGCAGUGAUAGAGGGUUGAAGGCUGCG